CUGAAGUUUUUGUCGUGUAAUGGCUGGGGAGCUAAUUCUGCUUUCUUCUGAGUAUAGUAUUUUUGCAGAAAGGGUGAAGAUAGCUUUUGCAGAGAAAGGCAUCACAAAUUACCAAAUCAGAAAUGAAGACUUGAGCAAUAAGAGCCCUCUUCUUCUCCAAAUGAACCCAGUUCAUAAGCUAGUCCCUGUCUUGAUCCAUAAUGGGAAACCCAUUUGCGAGUCUAUGAUCAUUGUCCAAUAUAUUGAUGAUUUCUGGAACCAUAAGUCUCCAUUGUUGCCUUCUGAUCCUUACCAACGAGCUCAUGCCAGAUUCUGGGCUGAUUACAUUGAUAAGAAGAUUUACCCAAAUGGGAGAAUGCUGUGGAGCUCUCUAAGGGAGAGAUCAUGGAAGCAUCAAGGAAAGAUCUGAUCCAGAGCUUGAAAACAUUGAACAGUGAGCUUGGUGAGAAGGCAUAUUUUAAUGGGGAGAGUUUUGGUUAUAUAGAUUUGGCGUUGAUUCCAUUCUACAACGUAUUCUACACAUUUGAGAGCCUGGGAAACUUCAGCAUGGAAGUGGAAUGCCCUCAGCUAGUGGAGUGGGCUAAGAGAUGGUCGCAAAAGGAGACUGUGUCCAAGUCUAUAUGGGAUAAGCGCAAGUUUUAUGAAAUGAGUUUGCGGUUCAAAGCCAAGUUGAGCCUCGAAUAAAUUACAUCGUUGUUGAGUGGCGUUGGAGUUCAAUCAAAUUACAGUUGAAAUCCAAUUGCUCAACAUGUUCUUCGGUUUAUUUUAGCAAGCUAGUUUUAUUGUAUUGUGCUUGUGCAGCUUCUUCUGGUGUUUAUAAACUAUUAAAACUGAUAACCCUGAAAACAAUCCUAGAAUUAUUAGCGAUAUUAUUGCUCUUAUAGUAUGACUAGCAAAUUGAUGAUUUAG
rnacentral:misc_RNA from 1 species